UACGUAGGGGGCAAGCGUUGUCCGGAUUUAUUGGGCGUAAAGAGCGUGUAGGCGGCUUUGCAAGUCCGUUGUGAAAACUCGAGGCUCAACCUCGAGACGCCGGUGGAAACUGCAAAGCUAGAGUCCGGAAGAGGAGAGUGGAAUUCCUGGUGUAGCGGUGAAAUGCGCAGAUAUCAGGAGGAACACCGGUGGCGAAGGCGGCAUCCUGGACCAACACUGACGCUGAGGAGCGAAAGCCAGGGGAGCAAACGGG
rnacentral:rRNA from 1 species